GGCGGUGUAGCUCAGCCUGGUUAGAGCGCUACGCUCAUAACGUAGAGGUCGGGAGUUCAAAUCACCCCACCGCCA
rnacentral:tRNA from 1 species